rnacentral:rRNA from 1 species
GAUGAACGCUGGCGGCGUGCCUAAUACAUGCAAGUCGAGCGAACAGACGAGAGUGCUUGCACUCUCUGACGUUAGCGGCGGACGGGUGAGUAACACGUGGGUAACCUACCUAUAAGACUGGGAUAACUUCGGGAAACCGGAGCUAAUACCGGAUAAUAUUUAGCUUCGCAUGAAGCAAUAGUGAAAGACGGUUCUGCUGUCACUUAUAGAUGGACCCGCGGUGUAUUAGCUAGUUGGUGAGGUAACGGCUCACCAAGGCAACGAUACAUAGCCGACCUGAGAGGGUGAUCGGCCACACUGGGACUGAGACACGGACCAGACUCCUACGGGAGGCAGCAGUAGGGAAUCUUCCGCAAUGGACGAAAGUCUGACGGAGCAAUGCCGCGUGAGUGAAGAAGGUUUUCGGAUCGUAAAACUCUGUUGUAAGGGAAGAACAAGUACGUUAGUAACUGAACGUACCUUGACGGUACCUUACCAGAAAGCCACGGCUAACUACGU